rnacentral:rRNA from 1 species
UAAAACCAGCACCUCGAGUGGUCAGGAGGUUUAUUGGGCCUAAAGCAUCCGUAGCCGGUUGCAUAAGUUUUCGGUUAAAUCUAUGCGCUUAACGUAUAGGCCGCCGAAAAUACUGUGCAGCUAGGGAGUGGGAGAGGUACACGGUACUCGAUAGGAAGGGGUAAAAUCCUUUGAUCUAUUGAUGACCACCUGUGGCGAAGGCGGUGUACCAGAACACGUUCGACGGUGAGGGAUGAAAGCUGGGGGAGCAAACCGGAUUAGAUACCCGGGUAGUCCCAGCUGUAAACGAUGCAGACUCGGUGAUGCAUUGGCUUGUGGCCAAUGCAGUGCCGCAGGGAAGCCGUUAAGUCUGCCGCCUGGGAAGUACGUACGCAAGUAUGAAACUUAAAUGAAUUGACGG